rnacentral:rRNA from 1 species
AUUGAACGCUGGCGGCAGGCCUAACACAUGCAAGUCGAACGAGCGGCGGACGGGUGAGUAAUGUCUGGGAAACUGCCUGAUGGAGGGGGAUAACUAAUGGAAACGGUAGCUAAUACCGCAUACCAUCAGAUGUGCCCAGAUGGGAUUAGCUAGUAGGGGGGGUAACGGCUCACCUAGGCGACGAUCCCUAGCUGGUCUGAGAGGAUGACCAGCCACACUGGAACUGAGACACGGUCCAGACUCCUACGGGAGGCAGCAGUGGGGAAUAGUGCACAAUGGGCGCAAGCCUGAUGCAGCCAUGCCGCGUGUAUGAAGAAGGCCUUCGGGUUGUAAAGUACUUUCAGCGGGGAGGCGUUACUCGCCGAAGAAGCACCGGCUAACUCCGUGCCAGCAGCCGCGGUAAUUC